GACGAACGCUGGCGGCGUGCUUAACACAUGCAAGUCGAACGGGCCUGUCUUCUUUUUUGGGGGUGGGUUGAGUGGCGAACGGGUGAGUAUCACGUGAGUAACCUGCCCUUCGGUCCUGGAUAACCGCUUGAAAGGGCGGCUAAUACGGGGUGGUCCGGUUGGUCCGCAUGGGCUGGUCGGGAUAGAUUCACUGUUUUUGGUGUUUCGGCGGGGGAUGGGCUCGCGGCCUAUCAGCUUGUUGGUGGGGUGAUGGCCUACCAAGGCGGUGACGGGUAGCCGGCCUGAGGGGGGGGGCGGCCACAGUGGGACUGGGAUACGGCCCAGACUCCUGCGGGAGGCAGCAGUGGGGGGUAUUGCACAAUGGGCGGAAGCCUGAUGCAGCGACGUCGCGUGAGGGAUGGAGGCCUUCGGGUUGUGAACCUCUGUUUCCGGUGGUGAAGGCCCUGUCCGUGUGGUGGGGUUGACGGUAGCCGGGGAUGAAGCGCCGGCUAACUACGUG
rnacentral:rRNA from 1 species